UCCUCCGCAUUGGAAGGUGAAGUCUUAACCACUGGUCACCAGUUCUCCCAGGCUGAUCUUUCUAAAGUGGAAAUCCAGUUGAUCCCAGGGCAGACACUGAGUCCCAUUCGUCUUCAGAUCCCCCAGGAGUCCAUGCAUACAGCUGAGUCCCAGUGUCAGCCAUCAGGUAAAGAAAGUAGAAAGUGGGCUUUCCACUUCUAAGGGGCCCAUGAACCAACUACACUGAGAGGGGGUCAGAUGCUCUGCCCUCGUUCAGAUCUUGCUGAAAAGUCCCCUUCUUAGGAGGAUCUUUUCUAGACUCCCUAUUUCAUAUCGCCACCCUCUCCCUGGUAUACCCUCUGUGCCCCCUGCUCUGUUACCAUCCGUCAGACUGCACGAUUUCUCUGUUCAAGUGAACCCGUUUCUCAUCCCACUAGAAUGUAAGCUCCCCGAGGGGAGG